AUAGAACCCACACGACGACUUAGGUCAUAUCUCCGCCUCGAGCGCAUCUCCACGAUCCAGUGCGCCCCUCCACCGCCAGCACCGGCCACCGCCCCUCCGCCGUGCGCCGCCCCCAACCCUGCGGCUUCAGUAGAUCCGCACCACCGCCGCCCUUCCUCUCCACCGUCGCCCGCGCCCGCCCGCGGUCAUCCAUCACCGCGUUCUUAAUGGCUUCGGUGACCACGGCGCCUCGGCUGCGACCCUGGCCUGCUUGACCGCCGGAUGGAUGGAUACCGACCGAGCUCAUCCUUGGCGCUCCGGCUGCGACCCAUGGUUGAUUGGCCGCCUGCUGGAAGGGGACGUCUCCUCCCGACUAAGCUUGAUGUGGGGCGGUGGACUGACAGCCUGGUGUGUGCGGCCUGCGGACGGCACCCACUAAAUGAUGCAUCUUCUCUUGUCGUCCUCAUGCUCUCUGCCCUUAAUUUGUUAUCCUAUCUCUCUGAUUGUUGGCUACAUGCACAGGUGUUUGAGGCAGCAGCGCACAAGCGGUGACUUGCAUCCAGUAGGAGGCAGCAAGAAGCAGCAACGACUCUGAGUUAGGUGCUAGCAAUGCACCCCCUCCCCAUUCAUCUACGUAAAUGGAUUUUCAACGGCCAAACUACCCUCUUGAUUCUUUCUUUAGUGUUUUCAGUUUUUACUAACAAUCCAUAUUUGGUAAACCGUGAAAUCUGUUCAGAAGCAUCUGCCAACAACCUGUUUGAUGUUAUGCAUACCAUGGAUUGAGAUACAGUCUAAUUUUCAGGUCAAACUCUUACCUCCGUUUAGAAAACCAAUAUGAAGAAAUAGGUGUAACCUACCUAGCCUGACGCAGGACGCGAUGUACGCCGGCACGCACACGGCAAGGUGACCCCAGCUGAAAACGUGGAGAGGGGGUCGUUUCGGGGAAGCGUAGGGAGGCGGUUGUUCCGGCGGCGGCGGCUUCCUAUGGCACUGGGUCCAACUGAGGGAGAGGGAGAGGCAUGAGAUUGCUGUGUCGCCCGAGCUGAAGGGCGCUCACGCAUCGUAUAUGUCCAGAUUAGCAAGAAAUCACUCAAAACUAAUGUGUACUAUAUGUUAUAUUCUGAUCUAUCUAUGCAUACGCCCUGUAUGGAUGAGGAGCUGCACCUUUCCAAAUUUUACAUGGCCAAAGUUCUGCAGGUGUAUGGGAUUUCUUCAGGACCAACAGCGUGGAUGUUCAGGCGAGAUAGCCAUGAUGGGAACACGAUUCAUAUGCUUCAGUUCCAUCCAUGCUCAGGCCAAUAUGCAAAUUGCUGGUGGAGGACAAUAGGGUCGACGAGAUGCACAAUUCCUAUGCUUCAGGCGACACAGCCAUGAUGGGAACACGACUCAUAUUCUUCAGUCUCUAUUUCGACUAAGCUGUGAUUAGAGUUAUACACUGCUUCCUUCCUGAAGUGACGAGAGAUGUCAGUUAUAUACAGAGAAGCUUGAGUGGAUGUGCGUUUGGGAUUAUACAAUUUAAAGGCCACUUUAUUUUUUGCUUUUAGUGUAUGGACCUGGAGGUUCUACCUAAUAGUAGUAGCUUAUUGACUUCUGAAAGCAAUAUAAGCCCAAUAGUAUUUGCAAAAUAAAAAACACCAACUACUGGUUUUAUAGCCAGUUAGACCGUAUCAUCACACUAAUCUUUUCUUUUAUUGGGUUGAACUCCAGUUAUUCUGUAAUUACUACAUUAACAAACUGUUCUUCACAUUCGGUUGUGAUUUGGUUUCAAAAGUUCAUUUUUACAUUAAUUUCGUCUCAA